rnacentral:snoRNA from 1 species
AAGACUAUACUUUCAGGGAUCAGUUUUACAGUUUGCUACUGAUUGCUAUAAGGCUAAAAGAAUACAUGAAGCUUAAAACAAGGAAUCUGGAGGCAGGGCUUUAGACAACUGUGCGGCCACCAACAAUGCGCUCAACAAAUUGU